GACGAACGCUGGCGGCGUGCUUAACACAUGCAAGUCGAACGGACAGGCCCUGCUUUUGUGGGGUGCUCGAGUGGCGAACGGGUGAGUAACACGUGAGUAACCUGCCCUUGACUUUGGGAUAACUUCAGGAAACUGGGGCUAAUACCGGAUAGGAGCUCCUGCUGCACGGUGGGGGUUGGAAAGUGUCGGCGGUUGGGGAUGGACUCGCGGCUUAUCAGCUUGUUGGUGGGGUAGUGGCUUACCAAGGCUUUGACGGGUAGCCGGCCUGGGAGGGUGACCGGCGACAUUGGGCCUGAGAUACGGCCCAGACUCCUACGGGAGGCAGCAGGGGGGAAUAUUGCACAAUGGGCGGAAGCCUGAUGCAGCAACGCCGCGUGCGGGAUGAAGGCCUUCGGGUUGUAAACCGCUUUCGCCUGUGACGAAGCGUGAGUGACGGUAAUGGGUAAAGAAGCACCGGCUAACUACGUG
rnacentral:rRNA from 1 species